rnacentral:rRNA from 1 species
AGAGUUUGAUCCUGGCUCAGAUUGAACGCUGGCGGCAUGCCUUACACAUGCAAGUCGAACGGUAGAGGGGCAACCCUUGAGAGUGGCGAACGGGUGAGUAAUGCAUCGGAACGUGCCCAGUCGUGGGGGAUAACGCAGCGAAAGCUGUGCUAAUACCGCAUGUGAUCUGUGGAUGAAAGCAGGGGACUUGGUAGCAAUACUGGGCCUUGUGCGAUUGGAGCGGCCGAUGUCAGAUUAGCUAGUUGGUAGGGUAAAAGCCUACCAAGGCGACGAUCUGUAGCUGGUCUGAGAGGACGACCAGCCACACUGGGACUGAGACACGGCCCAGACUCCCACGGGAGGCAGCAGUGGGGAAUUUUGGACAAUGGGCGCAAGCCUGAUCCAGCAAUGCCGCGUGCAGGACGAAGGCCUUCGGGUUGUAAACUGCUUUUGUACGGAGCGAAACGGUCUGGGUUAAUACCCUAGGCUAAUGACGGUACCGUAAGAAUAAGCACCGGCUAACUACGUGCCAGCCGCCGCGGUAAUAC